rnacentral:rRNA from 1 species
GAUGAACGCUGGCGGCGUGCCUAAUACAUGCAAGUCGAGCGAACGGACGCGAAGCUUGCUUCUCUGAUGUUAGCGGCGGACGGGUGAGUAACACGUGGAUAACCUACCUAUAAGACUGGGAUAACUUCGGGAAACCGGAGCUAAUACCGGAUGAUAUUUUGAACCGCAUGGUUCAAAAGUGAAAGACGGUCUUGCUGUCACUUAUAGAUGGAUCCGCGCUGCAUUAGCUAGUUGGUAAGGUAACGGCUUACCAAGGCAACGAUGCAUAGCCGACCUGCGAGGGUGGUCGGCCACACUGGAACUGAGACACGGUCCAGAGUCCUACGGGAGGCAGCAGUAGGGAAUCUGCCGCAAUGGGCGAAAGCCUGACGGAGCAACGCCGCGUGAGUGAUGAAGGUCUUCGGAUCGUAAAACUCUGUUAUGAGGGAAGAACAUAUGUGUAAGUAACUGUGCACAUCUUGACGGUACCUAAUCAGAAAGCAACGGCUAACUACGUG